rnacentral:lncRNA from 1 species
GCAGCUGAGGCGGAGGAACCCUAAGGGCUCAUUGAGAUCAUGGAUUUGCCCUUCUAUGCAUUGAUGGAGCACCUGCUGCCCACAGCGUCUGUAUUUGGUGCUGGGAUGCUGAGCCUCCUUCUUUAUGAAUUUUUAAAAGGACACUGAGAUCUUCAAACAGAGGCUGCCACUCUAAGCAAACAGAUCCCGAGCCCUGGACUCUGAAGCUUGGGCCCAGUUCUCCUUUUCUCCGGGUUUCAGAUCCCACUGUGAAGUGAGGGGGCCCUUCUGAUUCAGGACCCGGGGAAGCCAGGGGCAUGAGCAUCGGUGCCUCUUCUCUAUUUCAAGGACCCUUCUGGGUGUAAAGUUCUCUGAGAUGCCUUACAUGGAUUCCCACCACUGCAAGAUAACCAUCGUAUGUAAAGUGUUAUGACCAGCAGAGCGUAAUUGAAGUGCAUUCCAGAGGGAAAGACAGCGGCUCAGAUGAGGCUUCAGGCUUGACCAAAUCUGACUGGCUGGCUGCCGGAGACACUGCUACCCAUCGGCCCUUAAUAAAUGGCCUCAUUUGAUCAUCAUGUGAUCUUCAGAAGCUGGGCUUGAUUAUCCUUGCCAAACAAAAUGCUGAAACCAAAAAUCUGAAAGUGAAGGAAAGACCCUGGCUUUCCUCCCCAGCUCCAAGUGGGCUGUUCUGAUUGCUUCCGGGUCCUGUCCUCAUGGGGAGCAGCACCACGGGAGACUCUGCCUCUGCUGAGUUUUCUAACAUUAGUGUCGGGAAACAAGAAUCUGCCACUGAUGCUCCUUUUGUAAAGGUGAUAUGUUUGUCUAAUUCAAAGGGAAA